UGAAAUGCGUAGAUAUAUGGAAGAACACCAGUGGCGAAGGCGGCUGUCUGGUCUGUAACUGACGCUGAGGCUCGAAAGCAUGGGCAGCGAACAGGAUUAGAUACCCUGGUAGUCCAUGCCGUAAACGAUGAAUGCUAAGUGUUGGAGGGUUUCCGCCCUUCAGUGCUGCAGCUAACGCAUUAAGCAUUCCGCCUGGGGAGUACGACCGCAAGGUUGAAACUCAAAAGAAUUGACGGGGGCCCGCACAAGCGGUGGAGCAUGUGGUUUAAUUCGAAGCUACGCGAAGAACCUUACCAGGUCUUGACAUCUUCUGCCAAUCUAAGAGAUUAGACGUUCCCUUCGGGGACAGAAUGACAGGUGGUGCAUGGUUGUCGUCAGCUCGUGUCGUGAGAUGUUGGGUUAAGUCCCGCAACGAGCGCAACCCUUAUUAUUAGUUGCCAGCAUUAAGUUGGGCACUCUAGUGAGACUGCCGGUGACAAACCGGAGGAAGGUGGGGACGACGUCAAAUCAUCAUGCCCCUUAUGACCUGGGCUACACACGUGCUACAAUGGACGGUACAACGAGUUGCGAGACCGCGAGGUUUAGCUAAUCUCUUAAAACCGUUCUCAGUUCGGACUGCAGGCUGCAACUCGCCUGCACGAAGUUGGAAUCGCUAGUAAUCGCGGAUCAGCAUGCCGCGGUGAAUACGUUCCCGGGCCUUGUACACACCGCCCGUCACACCAUGAGAGUUUGUAACACCCAAAGCCGGUGGAGUAACCUUCGGGAGCUAGCCGUCUAAGGUGGGACAGAUGAUUGGGGUGAAGUCGUAACAAGGUAACC
rnacentral:rRNA from 1 species